UAGUCGCGACGUGCGCACGCGUGGGGCCAUCUUGGAUUUACUUCUCUCGCGUUCCGUUUCAAAAUAACGUUCUAAAGCACGUUCUUUUUUCAAACUGUGUUCUAAUCUGUGACUUUCAUUUUUUUGUGCAAUUAAUCGAAUUGGUUAUGAGUGAUUGAGUUGGCGUUCGUUUGUCUUCAUAUUUGGGAUUUACUUUCUAUUACUGUAAAUAUUUGUUCGAAUCAAAAUGUCUUGCUGGCGUACUGAUUGGAUAACUUAAGGUACAUGAGGAAACGUGUUACGCGUAAGUUUAUGUAAUCAAUUAACUAUUUUGACCAGUUAACCUAACGGGGGUUU